rfam:Aeropyrum pernix K1 DNA, complete genome.
AGCGGGGUAGGGUAGCCUGGCAGCCCGCGGGGCUCAUAACCCCGAGGUCGGUGGUUCAAAUCCACCCCCCGCUA